UACGUAGGGGGCGAGCGUUGUCCGGAUUCAUUGGGCGUAAAGAGCUCGUAGGCGGUUCAGUAAGUCGGGUGUGAAAUCUCCGUGCUCAACACGGAGCGGCCACCUGAUACUGCUGUGACUCGAGUCCGGUAGGGGAGUGUGGAAUUCCCGGUGUAGCGGUGAAAUGCGCAGGAUAAUCGGGGAGGAACACCAGUAGCGAAGGCGGCACUCGUGGGCCGUGAACUGACGCUGGAGGAG
rnacentral:rRNA from 1 species